GCUGGCAGUGCUGUGCCUGUGGUACCCCAGGGUACAUUCGGCCCUCUUGGCUGCCAGGCACACUGCUGGCUCAUGUUCAACUUGCUGUCAAACAGAACCCCAGAUCCCCUUCUAUAGGGCUGCUCUCCAGCGUCUCAUCGCCCAGUCUGUA